rnacentral:lncRNA from 1 species
CUGCUUCCUAGGGAGGGAGGCUGGGGCGGCAAGGCGGGCGCGGGUGGUCCUUGCCCCGCGCCAGCUCGCCAGGCCACGUCGCUGGCGUUUUUCCAGCGCUGGGUCACCUGCGGGCCGGCGGGUUCCCGCGGCGAACAGCUGGGUGGUAUGGAUACGCCGCUCGAGCCUCCGCAGCGUCAGGUCGCCAGGGUCCGCCCUGCCACUCGCCCCACCUUGAGCUACCUCUGAAGAAAAGAUGAUGGCCCGGUGCGGUGGCUCACGCCUGUAAUCCCAGCACUUUGGGAGGCCGAGUCAGGCGGAUCACCUGAGCAGUGUAAAGAAAGUCUGAAGAAUACUCCAGGAAAAUUGAGGAAACUAAAGCUAUUUCUACUACUGGUCUCAUAAUUGCAAAGCCAGUGCCUACCAUGAUAAGUGCUCUCUUACUUGGUAUGAAGGAAAUGAUUUUCUUCCCUUGCUAUUUUUUUUAUUAACGUAUACCAACCUUUGUGCUCAAGAUCUAGAACAAUAAACUCUUCACUUUGGAAGACAGUUUAAUCUCCAUGUACUGAAAACCACUAAUUUUACAGGAAGAAGACGUAUAAGCCUUUAAGCUUAGUAAACCUUUGGGUUCUGUGCAUUUGGCCAUCAUUCCAGUUGUCAGCAUUGUGCAGGACAGGUACUUGAGGUCUGUUUUUGUGAACCAGGGACCCGAGGCACAGAGCAAGUAAGUGGAUAGAAACAAAUGCUGUAAGAACAAAUAAUUGUAUUUAAAAAUUUAUGAUUUUCAUUUAUUUUUCAGAGGAAGCAUUAAUGAGUAGGUAGUAAUUUCUGGGUAUUAAAAAACCAUCAGAGACAUUUCUUUUUCCUUAUAAAAGAAGUCAUAACAGUGAACAUUUAUAGCACUUAGCUUACUAAGGGUUUCACGUCCUAUAAUCCCCAGCACUUUAGCAGGCUGAGAGGGGAGGACUGCUUGAGGCCAGGAGUUCAAGACCAGCCUGGGUAACAUAGCAAGACCCUGUCUCUAUUUAGAAAAAUAAUAAAAACAAAGGGUUUCACAUGUAUUUUAGAAAUUAGACCUUCCGAAGUUGUGAGAUUUGUAAUAAUGUUCAUUUUAGAGACUAGAAAACUAAGCCUCAUGAAGGCCAUGUGACUUGUCCACCAUUGCACCAGUGCUGAGUGGCAGAUCUCUGGUCUGGAAGCCACGUUCUUCUCACUAUACCAUGUUGCCAUUUUUCAGCAACUGGUGCACGAUGCAUAUUCUCCAAGACAGAAGGGAAGGAGGCUUGAUUAAUUGUGGCUCAGCCUUUCCUCAUAGUUUUGGGGCUGUAAGACCUGUGCAUUGUAAGUGAACCAUAAGGUCUGUUUGCCUCAGAGCAGGUUAGUUCACACCGUGCUGCUGCUGCUUUUAAGCAAUGCAGGAUGAACGGAGCUUGGGAGCAAUUUUCUCUCACUCCCAUGGUGGCAUCUCUUCAGUUCACUUUCUUUGUACUGCUCCUCUUAGGUUUAUGGCCGUGCAGUUGUCAGUGCUCCUGUCAGUCUUUCCAACCUUCCCUCUAAAUUCCUGGCACCAGCAGUUGGCCUAGAACAUGCUGAUCUUCAGCACCCUGACAGAAAAGGCUGCUAUCACAGUGGAAAGUGUGGCUUCCUGGGCUGCCUCUUGGCAAAGGGCUCUAGCUUGUCCAGAUUUGGGUCAGCCCCAGGGUCUAUCAGUUCCAGGAGAGGUGUUGAAGGGCUGUGACAAAUGCCUGCCCUGGCAGAUGGAGGAAGCUCUGGCUAGCUUGAGAGCGCAGUGUAAUAACAGCUGCCCUGAGAAGGGACUUCCAGCCAUUCUUGUGCUCUGAGAUUGUGUCCGGAAUUGGUGGGUUCUUGGUCUCACUGACUUCAAGAAUGAAGCCGCAGACAC